rnacentral:rRNA from 1 species
CAAUAGCGUAUAUUAAAGUUGUUGCAGUUAAAAAGCUCGUAGUUGGACCUUGGACCUGGACAGGCGGUCCGCCUCACGGCGUGUACUGUCUUGCUGGGUCUUUCCUCUUGGUGAUCUGUUGUUUCGGCAGCAGGGAACCAGGACUUUUACUUUGAAAAAAUUAGAGUGUUCAAAGCAGGCUCGACGCCGGAAUAUAUUAGCAUGGAAUAAUAAAAUAGGACGUGCGGUUCUAUUUUGUUGGUUUUUGGAAUCGCCGUAAUGAUUAAUAGGGACAGUCGGGGGCAGUAGUACUCACAUGCUAGAGGUGAAAUUCUUGGAUUUUGUGAAGACUAACUUCUGCGAAAGCAUUUGCCAAGGAUGUUUUCAUUAA